rnacentral:misc_RNA from 1 species
GUAUAUUUAACUUUAUAGGCACUGAUUCGACAUAAAUGAGGUUGUGAAAUGACAUAGACCCAGAAAUGUAAGGAAAAGCCCUGAAGCAAAGCAGUCCCAACUCGAAAUGAUUUCAAAAAACUCCAGGUCUACAAUAUGUGCACAGUUGGAGAAAUAAAGAUGACAGGCGUGCACAUGCCCCAGAGAGCCAGCAACAACCUGUGCAAGUUUAUUCAAUGAUGAUCCUUCCGCAGGUUCACCUACGGAAA